rnacentral:rRNA from 1 species
GACGAACGCUGGCGGCGUGCUUAACACAUGCAAGUCGAACGAGGAAUAGAGAGCUUGCUCUCUAUAGCCGAGUGGCGAACGGGUGAGUAACACGUGACCAACCUGUCUUUGGGUGAGGGACAACCUGGGGAAACCCGGGCUAAUACCGCAUAAUGUCUUUUUUUCUCCUGAGAAAGAGACCAAAGGGGGCCUCUGCUUGCAAGCUCUCGCCCGAUGAGGGGGUCGCGUCGUAUCAGCUUGUUGGUGAGGUAACGGCUCACCAAGGCUAUGACGCGUAGCGGGUCUGAGAGGACGAUCCGCCACAUUGGGACUGAGAUACGGCCCAGACUCCUACGGGAGGCAGCAGUGGGGAAUAUUGCGCAAUGGUCGAAAGACUGACGCAGCGACGCCGCGUGUGGGAGGAAGCCUUUCGGGGUGUAAACCACUGU